AAUGAACGCUGGCGGCGUGCCUAACACAUGCAAGUCGAGCGAACGCACGGUAAGAGUGCUUCCCUACCGUUAGCGCGUGACGGGCGAGUAAGACGUGCAUAAUCAUCCUAUUUUACGUGGAUGAUAUCGGAAAACCGUAGAUAAUAACGCAGAAUACUUCGUACCGCAUAGAUCAAACGAGAUUGGGUGUCUUCCCGACUCUAUUAGACGAUUUCGCGCUGCAUUAGCUAGUUGGUAAGGUAACGGCCUACCAAGGCAACGAUGCAUAGCUGACCUGAGAGGAUGAUCAGCCACACUGGAACUGAGACACGGUCCAGACUCCUACGGGAGGCAGCAGUAGGGAAUAUUGCACAAUGGGCGAAAGCCUGACAGAGCAAUACCGCGUGGGUGAUGAAGGUCUUCGGAUCGUAAAGCCCUUUUAUUGGGGAAGAAAAUAUGCAGAUUUAUAUCCGGCCAUUUUGACGGUACCUAAACAGUAAGCAACGGCUAACUUCGUG
rnacentral:rRNA from 1 species